UACGUAGGGUGCGAGCGUUGUCCGGAAUUACUGGGCGUAAAGAGCUCGUAGGUGGUUUGUCGCGUUGUUCGUGAAAACCUGAGGCUUAACCUUGGGCGUGCGGGCGAUACGGGCAGACUGGAGUACUGCAGGGGAGACUGGAAUUCCUGGUGUAGCGGUGGAAUGCGCAGAUAUCAGGAGGAACACCGGUGGCGAAGGCGGGUCUCUGGGCCAUUCCUGACGCUGAGACGCGAAAGCUAGGGGAGCGAACAGG
rnacentral:rRNA from 1 species